UACGUAGGGCGCAAGCGUUGUCCGGAAUUAUUGGGCGUAAAGAGCUCGUAGGCGGUCUGUUGCGUCCGCUGUGAAAACUCGGGGCUUAACCCCGAGCCUGCAGUGGAUACGGGCAGACUAGAGGUAGGUAGGGGAGAAUGGAAUUCCCGGUGUAGCGGUGAAAUGCGCAGAUAGUCGGGAGGAACACCGGUGGCGAAGGCGGUUCUCUGGGCCUUACCUGACGCUGGGAGCGAAAGCGUGGGGAGCGAACAGG
rnacentral:rRNA from 1 species